UCUGAUUUGGCUCAUCAGUGGUUAAAGCAUUGGACCCAUAAUCAAAGGUGUGCGGGUUCUAUUCCCGCAAGCAAGAG